UACAGAGGUCCCAAGCGUUGUUCGGAUUCACUGGGCGUAAAGGGUGCGUAGGCGGUCGGGUAAGUCUGACGUGAAAUCUCCGGGCCUAACCCGGAAACUGCGUUGGAAACUGCCUGGCUAGAGGAGUGGAGGGGAGACUGGAAUACUUGGUGUAGCAGUGAAAUGCGUAGAUAUCAAGUGGAACACCAGUGGCGAAGGCGAGUCCCUGGACACUUCCUGACACUGAGGCACGAAAGCUAGGGGAGCAAACAGG
rnacentral:rRNA from 1 species